CCGCGCACCGGAAGGGCCGCGCAGACCGGGCCGGGGAGGCCGCCGCUUCUCCUGCGCCGCCGUGGGCCGAGAGCCGGUGCAGGCGCAGCAGCUGCUUGCGGGAGAAGGCCUCGGCGCAGCGCGGCUCCGGGCACGGAUGCGAUGCCUCUAGCCAUGAAGGAAGGAAAAUGUUUCAAACAGGGCUGUGCAAUGCAGAGGAAGUACAAUGUGGGUUGACCCUGCUCUUUACAACGAGACGGUGUGAAAGCCGGAACGGAAACAAACAGCCUUGAACGGGUUUUAAAUAAAUAAUAUUACUGCAGAACACACGGGUAGAUGUUAAACACACUUCAGAACAAUAUUUUAGAAAUGCAAACAUUGAAAUAAUUUGCUAUUAUUGACCUUUUUCUAGCCAGGAUGAAGGAGAGCAGCAGGGAACAGGCAUUAAAAAUAUUACAGCAAAACUAUGUUGGGCUUUAAAGCCAUCCCCCACUUUUAUCACUUGCAUGGAAAUAGCUGCCCACAUGCGUUUAAUGAGUUGAACUCUGCUCCCUGAAAUAUUAUGCAAUAAUAAAAACUUGUUUUUAACAUGC